ensembl:lncRNA
UUUAUUUUUUAUUUUUUUAUUUCACCUUUAUUUAACCAGGUAGGCUAGUUGAGAACACCUUUAUUUAACCAGGUAGGCUAGUUGAGAACACCUUUAUUUAACCAGGUAGGCUAGUUGAGAAGACCUUUAUUUAACCAGGUAGGCUAGUUGAGAACACCUUUAUUUAACCAGGUAGGCCAGUUGAGAACACCUUUAUUUAACCAGGUAGGCUAGUUGAGAACACCUUUAUUUAACCAGGUAGGCCAGUUGAGAACACCUUUAUUUAACCAGGUAGGCCAGCUGAGAACACCUUUAUUUAACCAGGGAGGCCAGCUGAGAACACCUUUAUUUAACCAGGUAGGCCAGCUGAGAACACCUUUAUUUAACCAG